rnacentral:rRNA from 1 species
CACGUAGGGUGCGAGCGUUGUCCGGAAUUAUUGGGCGUAAAGAGCUCGUAGGCGGUGUGUCGCGUCGGCCGUGAAAACCUGCAGCUUAACUGCGGGCUUGCGGUCGAUACGGGCAUCACUGGAGUUCGGCAGGGGAGACUGGAAUUCCUGGUGUAGCGGUGAAAUGCGCAGAUAUCAGGAGGAACACCGGUGGCGAAGGCGGGUCUCUGGGCCGAUACUGACACUGAGACACGAAGGCCAGGGGAGCAAACGGG